CCCUUAGAUGUUCUGGGCCGCACGCGCGCUACACUGAUGCAUUCAACGAGCCUAUCCUUGACCGACAGGUCCGGGUAAUCUUUGAAUCUGCAUCGUGACGGGGAUAGAUUAUUGCAAUUCUUAAUCUUCAACGAGGAAUGCCUAGUAGGCGCAAGUCAUCAGCUUGCGUCGAUUACGUCCCUGCCCUUUGUACACACCGCCCGUCGCUCCUACCGAUUGGGUGUGCUGGUGAAAUGUUCGGAUCGGCCGUUUGUCGCGGUUUCCGCGUCAUGUGGCUGAGAAGUUCAUUAAACCCUCCCACCUAGAGGAAGGAGAAGUCGUAACA
rnacentral:rRNA from 1 species